rnacentral:lncRNA from 1 species
CGUUGGACUAGUGGAAACGUACAUUCGUCCAUCACAUUCAUUCAUGGCCAUGGAAAGCGAGUAGACAUGCCAAACACUUAUAAACACAUAGCACAUAACAUUUAGCAUGCUCGACUAGAUGCAAUGGCCUAAUAAAGCAAAUUAACAUGUAGCAACAAAGGUAAGCAACCAAACUAAAAAAUCUAUUACAUUUGCUAGCUAGGCACACGUCUUCAAUAGGUCUUCAUCAAAUGCUUCUCCAAGCCCUAUCUAUUACAAGCUAAGAGGUGUACACAUACCCCAUAAAGAACAACUUAAAUAAAAUUAAAAAUAAAUGAAAUAAAUGCAAGGAAUUAAGGAAAGGCAAGGAAAGCGAAAUAGACAUGCAUAUUCACAUAACACGUAGGAGCACGUAGGGUCAAAUGAAGUGCAAAUAAGGGAUAGAAUGUACCUCCCUUGAAUCGAUGCUCUAAUGAAGUGAAAUUAUUAAAUUACCCUCCAAAAUAAUAAAAAGGUCAAGGUACCACUUUAAUUAUCGAAUAAUCACAUGAAACAACCAUUAAACACAAAAGUGGAAAUUAAGCAUGAAACGAAAAUUAAAUAUGGAAUAGAUCAUGCACGUGCAAGCAAAACUCGGUCUCAAAUAAAAGGUCUCAAGAAUCUAAAGUGGAGUGCUAAAUUGAAAUGCUUACGGUGGAAUCCAUCACAAUCAAAUGCAAAAAUCACAAAAAGAGAAAAACUAUCACAGAAAUUAUUUAUUAUGAUUAAAUAACAAAAUUAUCUAAGAAAAACUGAAUCAAAUGAAACCAAGACUAUGAAUUCUUCCAAGAUUAUUAAGCUUUCAUGACAUUGGGAAUUAUCCAUUGAAAUUUGUCCACAAUUCACGUAAAAACAUACCGAAGCGAAUUAUCAUGUAAAAGGGAUCCAAUUGCAAACAUUAAUCAAUCAUGUGAGCCCAAUUAGAACAUUUAAGAACUUUAAAGGUUCAAGAAUGAUGAAAAGGUCAAGUCAUGGUUCAGAUUGCAAAUACUUUAGGACUCAAUUGCAAGAAAUUAAAGCAUA